rnacentral:rRNA from 1 species
GACGAACGCUGGCGGCGUGCUUAACACAUGCAAGUCGAACGGAAAGGCCCUGCUUGCAGGGUACUCGAGUGGCGAACGGGUGAGUAACACGUGGGUGAUCUGCCCUGCACUUCGGGAUAAGCCUGGGAAACUGGGUCUAAUACCGGAUAGGAGCCAUUUUUAGUGUGAUGGUUGGAAAGUUUUUUCGGUGUAGGAUGAGCACGCGGCCUAUCAGCUUGUUGGUGGGGUAAUGGCCUACCAAGGCGGCGACGGGUAGCCGGCCUGAGAGGGUGGACGGCCACAUUGGGACUGAGAUACGGCCCAGACUCCUACGGGAGGCAGCAGUGGGGAAUAUUGCACAAUGGGCGCAAGCCUGAUGCAGCGACGCCGCGUGGGGGAUGACGGCCUUCGGGUUGUAAACUCCUUUCGCUAGGGACGAAGCUUUUUGUGACGGUACCUAGAUAAGAAGCACCGGCUAACUACGUG